rnacentral:rRNA from 1 species
UACGGAGGGUGCGAGCGUUGUCCGGAAUCACUGGGCGUAAAGGGCGCGUAGGCGGCCUGAUAAGUAGGGGGUGAAAUCCUGCGGCUUAACCGCAGGGCUGCCUUCUAAACUGUCGGGCUCGAGCACAGUAGAGGCAGGUGGAAUUCCCGGUGUAGCGGUGGAAUGCGUAGAGAUCGGGAAGAACAUCAGUGGCGAAGGCGGCCUGCUGGGCUGUUGCUGACGCUGAGGCACGAAAGCUAGGGUAGCGAACGGG